rnacentral:rRNA from 1 species
AUGCAAGUCGAACGAACUCUGGUAUUGAUUGGUGCUUGCAUCAUGAUUUACAUUUGAGUGAGUGGCGAACUGGUGAGUAACACGUGGGAAACCUGCCCAGAAGCGGGGGAUAACACCUGGAAACAGAUGCUAAUACCGCAUAACAACUUGGACCGCAUGGUCCGAGCUUGAAAGAUGGCUUCGGCUAUCACUUUUGGAUGGUCCCGCGGCGUAUUAGCUAGAUGGUGGGGUAACGGCUCACCAUGGCAAUGAUACGUAGCCGACCUGAGAGGGUAAUCGGCCACAUUGGGACUGAGACACGGCCCAAACUCCUACGGGAGGCAGCAGUAGGGAAUCUUCCACAAUGGACGAAAGUCUGAUGGAGCAACGCCGCGUGAGUGAAGAAGGGUUUCGGCUCGUAAAACUCUGUUGUUAAAGAAGAACAUAUCUGAGAGUAACUGUUCAGGUAUUGACGGUAUUUAACCAGAAAGCCACGGCUAACUACGUGCCAGCAGCCGCGGUAAUACGUAGGUGGCAAGCGUUGUCCGGAUUUAUUGGGCGUAAAGCGAGCGCAGGCGGUUUUUUAAGUCUGAUGUGAAAGCCUUCGGCUCAACCGAAGAAGUGCAUCGGAAACUGGGAAACUUGAGUGCAGAAGAGGACAGUGGAACUCCAUGUGUAGCGGUGAAAUGCGUAGAUAUAUGGAAGAACACCAGUGGCGAAGGCGGCUGUCUGGUCUGUAACUGACGCUGAGGCUCGAAAGUAUGGGUAGCAAACAGGAUUAGAUACCCUGGUAGUCCAUACCGUAAACGAUGAAUGCUAAGUGUUGGAGGGUUUCCGCCCUUCAGUGCUGCAGCUAACGCAUUAAGCAUUCCGCCUGGGGAGUACGGCCGCAAGGCUGAAACUCAAAGGAAUUGACGGGGGCCCGCACAAGCGGUGGAGCAUGUGGUUUAAUUCGAAGCUACGCGAAGAACCUUACCAGGUCUUGACAUACUAUGCAAAUCUAAGAGAUUAGACGUUCCCUUCGGGGACAUGGAUACAGGUGGUGCAUGGUUGUCGUCAGCUCGUGUCGUGAGAUGUUGGGUUAAGUCCCGCAACGAGCGCAACCCUUAUUAUCAGUUGCCAGCAUUAAGUUGGGCACUCUGGUGAGACUGCCGGUGACAAACCGGAGGAAGGUGGGGAUGACGUCAAAUCAUCAUGCCCCUUAUGACCUGGGCUACACACGUGCUACAAUGGAUGGUACAACGAGUUGCGAACUCGCGAGAGUAAGCUAAUCUCUUAAAGCCAUUCUCAGUUCGGAUUGUAGGCUGCAACUCGCCUACAUGAAGUCGGAAUCGCUAGUAAUCGCGGAUCAGCAUGCCGCGGUGAAUACGUUCCCGGGCCUUGUACACACCGCCCGUCACACCAUGAGAGUUUGUAACACCCAAAGUCGGUGGGGUAACCUUUUAGGAA